rnacentral:lncRNA from 1 species
CAUUUUCUUAUGCUGUUUGUAAUGCUGGGUUUCUCGGUAGUGUUCGACUCAGUGAAAGCUCCGGGUCUAGGAUUAGGGGCACGAUACAUUUUCACCAUGGGACUGGGCCGUCUUUUAAGAGCUAUAACCUUCGUUUCUACCAUCUUACCUUCAGCUAGACCUUGGUGCGCUUCAGCCCGAUUCAACAACGUCCCUUCUCAUCCUCAUCGUUGGGCUCAGAAGUAUUAUGUCCCUUAUGCUAAAGACCCUUCUGCUAUUCGCCAGCUCCUCCAUUGGGAUGCUGCUUACGGUAACAUCUCGUCUCACUUCACUUUACUAAAUUCUCUGAAUUUGUUUUAUUAUUUAUCUGAUCUAAAUGAUUUUUAAAGUCAAUUUUUGUUGUAUUAACAGCUGAUCCUGGAAACUACAUUGGUGACUACAGAGCUGACUGGGGUCCAAUGAGCUUCCUCAGCGACUUCUUGAGACCGAGUUACUCUGAAGGGUCUUCGUGGUUUGCUUUACUAAAGAAAGCGGGAGGUGGCUGUAAUGACCUCUUGUACAGUGGCCACAUGCUUGUAGCUGUCCUAACCGCUAUGGCUUGGACGGUAUAUAUAUAUAUAUUUAUCCUUUUCUUCCUCCCAUUCCACUUUUCAGCUAAUUUCGUAACCUUUCUGUCUGUGGUAAAAUCAUCAACAGGAGGCUUAUGGAGGUUUCUCUUCGGCGUUGAUAUGGUUGCUUGUGGCACACAGCGCACAGAGGGAAAUAAGAGAGCGCCACCACUAUUCAGUAGACUGCGUUGUGGCGAUUUACGUUGGUAUCCUUCUUUGGAAAAUGACUGGUUUUAUUUGGUCUAAUAAGAGGAAGUCGAAGCAGACAGUGAGACUAGAGAAGAUUCAGAACGGGCUUAUUCACGCUGCCAAGGAUUCGGAUAUGGAGACUGUUAGGAGACUUGUGGAGGAGAUGGAGGUAAGCCUCGGGGAAGAGAAGCAGAGUGGAGUUGUCUCCAAGAGGGCAAUGACAGUGUUUGCGUGUGCCACAGUGAUCACAACACUUGGUAUAGUGGUUCUGGCUUUAACUUUGACAAGCGACGGUUGAUAAUAUGGAUUCUUAGUCUUCUCCACGGUUACAUGCCUUUAUUUUAAUCUCUACUUUGUUGUAUUUUCUUGUCCUAAAACCACGAUUAUUAGCUAAAAGUGUAGUGUUAAUUUCUUGUCCUUUUGGUUUAUCAGUGAUCCGUUACUUUUUUGGUAUUGGGGUUUUACCCGUCCCUGGUGUGGAUAAAAAUUAGGAGGAUGGACUUUUGCAAUAUUCUAUCCACCAACAAUUUCGAACUAGCCUAUACAUAAGAAUGCUCCGGCAAAAUGUUGAGUACAAGGUCGAUUGAAGUAAGUGGUUCAGGAAUAAAAAAACAUUAGGUGAUUGUUAUCCUACUUGUUAGAAAAAAAACAUUUGUAACAUUAGAUUUGUUUAACUUCUGAUUCUAGGAACUCUAUUUAUUUUUUAGAUUAACUUAAAAGAGUCCAUAUGUUAAUUUGGUCUAUUCGGAUCUGUACAAUUGGGGAUCUAUCGUGUCACUCACAAUCUCAUAACAACAUAUGUUACUCAAAGGAUAGGCCGAAUCAUUAAUUAACAGGAGUUGAUGACACGAACAGAAAUAUUUCAUAUCAUUUAAAGAUGUGAUUUUGUGACCAUAAGAUAAAGAAAUAAAAAUAAGAGCUACUCUUUAAUUCUUCUCUUAAAUUAGUCAAGAAAGGCAAUAGGUCUGGGAUGGAUCGUCUCAGACCAAGGAACAUCGCCUCUUCAGGGAUCACAAUUUCAGACUCAUGUCCAGUUGGCUAUCGUGACGAAAGUUCUAGAGGUUUGGGCAGCACUAAGACACACCAUUCACCUUGGUUUCACAAAGAUCUGGCUUCGAUCAGAUUCAUUGGGACUCAUCAGAGCCAUCGUUUCGGUUAUCAAACCAAAGAAUCUCCAUGGAAUUUCUCUUGGAUAUCGAAAUCCUAUCGUCCUUCUUCAAUUUCUGUUUUUUUUCUACACUCCAAGAGAGGUAAAUGGAUUUGCGGACUUUGUAGUAAAAGCUUCUUUAUGUAAUAUGCAUUUCUCAUGGGCAUGAGCCUAGGUUUUUCUCCUUUUAAGUUUAUGAAAUAUGGUUGAUCAAAAAACAAAACAAAAAUUGGUCAAGAAAAAAGUAGUGUUCGAAGUUUGACAUUUCUGAAAUUUAACUGCACGAAAAUGUUAAAGAAUAUAUACGAAUUGUCAGAAAAUAUGUGUUCAAAUGGUUGAUAAAACAAAGUGGUGUUAACAAAUAUACUCUCAGUAUUAUUUAAGAAUUUCAAUGCAAUUUUGGGUUUAAUAUUAAUUAUAAACAUAUUGAUUUUAUAAAUAAUUUUAUUUAUCUCAAAUACUAUUGGUUUUAAUAGAUGUAAUUAAUAAGAAAAUAAGUACAUUUCAAUCAUUUUUUGUGAAAAAUGUUAAACUAAUUAACGCUCUUUACUAAAUACAUACAAUAUUAUUUUAUGAAUGUUUCUGAUUAUAUAUAGAUUGGCUACACUGUGCAUAACCACCACAUUAACUAUGACAACUCGUAAAAUUUAGAGACUAUAUGAUGAUUUAGAAUAAUAAUCAUCAUAAUUAUCUAGGUAGUCAGUGUCAUACCAUUACAAAGAUUCAUAAUUAGAGUGGGUGACUAUAAUUUUGUAUUGCUGAUUCCAUACUGAAUCAGACAUGGUCCAAUCAUUUGAGGGUUUGGCAUUUCCUUUAGUAAACUUUUAAGCAAUCUGCCGCAUACCAUUUUUAUACAAAAUUCUAUUGAUCCAUAGAAAUCAGUUUUAGCAUUAAAACUGAAUUGUUUACUGAAACCUGGAUAGAAUGUAACGCUUUGAUUACAUGAAUUUCGUUAUAAACUCUCACUGAAACCCAAUAUAGAUUCAAGUGGACAAUCCCGUGAUGAUUAUCAAGUACAUAUGUGAUCAAAUACUGAUAAGAACUCAUCAAAUUAAAUGCUUGACUUUUUGAUAAUCAAACAAUGGGUAACUAAAAUUAACAAGUCGUUAAACACUCACAAGAACCAAAUAGAUGCUUUUAUAAAUGCUAUGAAAUUUUUAUUAGUAUAUCUUUUGUCAACACUUAUAUAAUAUUCUAUCAAAAUACUACUAUAUUUAGGGAGGCCGGAAAAAGAAAAAGGAUGGUAAGAAAUGUCAAUAGCGAUAUGAGAUCAAUGAUUAUGAUGAGCACAUGGCUUCAGAAAAGGCCAUGUGACUCAAUGACUCCCUUUUUUUUGUCCCCAUUUCUUCAGGGCUCUUAUCUAUUCAUAAAUAAUGACCAUACUACAUAUUUAAUGGUUCGGAUUUUAAAAUAGUUCAUUAGGAUGACUAAUGUAAGAACAGAGUUUAACAUUCUAUUAUUCAGUAUCGGAGUAUUGUUCUAAUCAUUUGCAUUUCUCAAUAAUUAGAAUGUAUUUUCUUGUAUUUUAAUAUUUUGUUUCGUCCGCUUGUCUCCAAGCCAACGCUUUCCGCGUACGUAUGGACCGUGGACGUAGACUAAUCGUCCGCAGUUGAAGACAUUAUAAGAAUAUAGUAAAGAAGACUAAAUUUAAUGAGCUUGAUUGCAAACUGAUUAACCGAAUUAUAAAUGGCUAACCUAUUGAGAUAGAGUAUCUUAAGUUAUCGUAUCAAGAUGUCGUUAGAUCCUUUAAUUUAGGCAAUUGGAUUUUGUUAAUUCUUCGUGCAUCAUGGUGAUAAAUAAGCAAUAUAAUGAUCGGACAUUGGUAACUUUAAUGGAAUGAACAUAAGCCUUCUGUUUUAUCUUCUUAAAAAAGUCGUUUCUUCUUCUGUUUUUUUCAUCAAUUUUUUUUUGUAUUUUGGUAAAAAAAAAAGAUGGUUUCACCUCUUUGCCGAGAACACAAACAUUGUAAAUAGUUCCUCCCACCGUGAAUUGAAUUUGGGUGGCGGUAGUUACAGCCGUAACUCCUUUAUCACUAGGCCAACUCAACGUUAGUAAAAAAAAAUGCUAAGGCCAUUCUUGGAUUUUGCAUCAUCAUUCAGUAAUCAGCUAUGUUGGUUGACUAUGGGUUUGGUUAACUAAAUUGAAUUAAGUAAAUCUAUAGAUAUCUUAUUAUUAUUAGCAAAAAAAACAUAUGUUUUGGAAAUGAGAUCGUGAAAUAGAGGAAGAUACAAAGAAUUACUAAAGACGUUUGUAAGUUGAUGUUUUUACCGUAUAUGGAAAACUUUGAGAACACCAACCUUCAAUUCUCCUCUAACGGCAUGGAAAAAUAUGAUAUAUGUUUCGGUCGUCUCGUGAAACAUUGGAUUCUGCUAAUGGGCUAAUUAAUAAGAAGAGCUGCAAUGUGUGACGGUAUAUUUCAGCAGCGUGAGGAGAAUUAGUACGAAGAUCAUAGGUGAUAUAGAUAUAUGAGUAAACAGUCUAGUGACUAGUAGCAAAACAUAGCAAAAUUAUUUUUAAAAAGUUGAAAAUAUAAAAUAUUAUUGAUGAAGUCUUAAAUUCACUUAAUAUUUGGUUUCAUAGUUGCAAACCCGCGAAAAUGAAUGAAGAAAUGUUAUUUGCUAUUGUUGAUUUACUAUUGAAAGUGCGAUUCUUACAAGUUUGAUGAAGCAGAAGCUCCUUUGGUAAAACUGGGACAAUAUAAAAAAACCUCUGACCAAAAGAAAUACUCUUUAGUUCGUUGAAAUGUUGUGACUCUUUAUCAUGAUCAACUGAGAGAAUGUAAGUUUUGAUUAGCGACCCGCAAAAGAUGGAAAUAUCUAUAGUAUUAUGAAAGAUAUAAUCAUAUAAACACCAUUCCAAAAACAAAAACAAAUAUCUAUGAGAACAAGCUUCUUUCACUUUCACCAUUUCACUCUACCCUUUCAUUCUGAAUAUUUCGUCUCGCUUUUCUAAUAUGGUUAUUUUGUGAGUGAUCACCAGCUAAAGAAAAAAUAAUAUUGUUCAAAUUUUUUUUAAAGAAAUUAGGAGCAUACAGCCAAAUUAAACUACGGGCUUCUGAAAAACUGGUGGCGCGAAAAUGACCGGUGCAUCGUAGAUCGGAGGGCUGACGGUGAAGGGCAUGUUAGUGAUGAACGUUCGAGAUACGACCCAUGAAUGCAGGGGUGUUGUCAGACAAGGCUCACAUGGACGAACGUGACCUUUAUGUGAUUUACCACGUCAGCCACUGUCUCUAAUCCAAAACCAAAAUGGUUUCCGAUUAUUGGAUCUGGAACCGGUUCCGAUGAUGUCCUACUACGACACCGUACUUUUUGUCUGAAAAUAAUUAAGUUCACAUUAGUGUUAAUUUUGUGAGGCAGCAAUAAUUGGUGGGGAAAUGGGCGGGGCCCAUUAAUCCAUUGUCCGCACCCCUUACUCAUUAAUCAUUCAACAAAGGAAAUUUCGGAAAACAUAAUUCGAGAUUAUUAAAUAGACCGACAAAAGUAAAUGCUUAUGAUUUUGUAUUUGAAAGCUGUAUAAUGUUUCCAAGUUUUCUAAAUCUAACCAGAGAUGGUGCGAAAGUAAAAGAAACGAAAGAUGGAGAGACGUGAUCAGAAACUAAGUAAACAGCCAUUACCGAUAAUAUACACGUAGCAAAAGAAGAAAACAAGGAAGUUGUGACAGAAUGUAUAUACGUCGCAAUGGUUUGUGAAGUUCGUUGAACUAUAAAAAGACUGUAAAUGUUUUAAAGGUGUUGUAAAAGCGGAGAAGGUUUAUCCUAAGACGUUGCGGUGUACAGUUAACAUCCGAUGGAGUUAUUUAUUCGUUCAUGUGACAUUUAACCCCAUAUAACAUUCAGCGAACGUUUCAUACAUCAUGAAAUUAUUAUUUUUAAAUUAAUAAAUCAUAUAACAGAAUGUAUAAAUUUGAAUAAUAGAAUAGCCUCGCUGUUAAAAAAAACAAGAUGUCUAAAACUAAAACGCAUAAAACUAAUGUCCUUUAAUUACAACAAAAUAAAAGAUUUACCUACAACUAAGUCUAGAACCAUAUUCAACUCGAAAAGCCCUAGUUCCUUCUCUAGCACGACUAUUGAGGAGUUAAACCUGAUUUCAUUCUUCAAGGCUGGUGACACAUAUAUUUGUCGGCAUCUCUUUUGUCCUCCUCUUGUGUGUUUUCCCUCAGUGUUCUGCUCAUGUUUCUGUUCUAUGCAUUAGUUCUCUUAACUGUUGUGCUCUGUUUUGGAUUUUAGCAUCUACUAAGACUUUAGUCAUCUCAAAGAUUGGUUUAAGACCAUCAGAGCGAGAUUUUCUCUGAGGAAUUUUGUAUUUCGUUAACUUUUAAAUUUAUUCCUUUGAAUUAAUGGUUUAAUUUUAUAAUUCUCUGAAAACUUUUUUUUUUUUUUGACGUCGAAAGGCUAUUCUAUUACUCAAACUUGAGGUGGUCUGGGUAACCAAACCGGAAUAGAACAACCAAUAAAACAUAACUCCCUAUGGAAGGAUCUAGCAGUCUUAGCCAAAAAAUCAGCCGUCUGGUUACGUGCCCGUGGGAAAAAAGUAAUAUCAAAAAUAAAAUUGAUCAAAAUAAUAUUAUAGUUUCAUUGUCAAAAUACAUAUAUGCACGCAAUAAGUAUAUAAUAUUAUACUUUCAUUGUUAAAAUUUGUAAAUACGAAGGAAAGUUAGAGAUUGUGUAUAUAGAUUAAUCUUUUAUGUAACUCAAAUAGAAAGAUAGAUAAAAUUAUAAUUAAUGUUUUUUAUAACAGUGUAAUAUUGGUUAAUACACAUCAAAAAUUAUAUAUUGUUUUAAAACUAUGAUUAAUAAAUAAUAUAAAUAUGUUUAUAAACAUACUUAUACAUUUACAUAUACAAACAAAGAUAUAUCUAAAUAUUAGUUAUUUUAAUGGUAUAAAUUUAUAUUAAAUUAAUAUGAAAUUAGUAAAGCAUACUUUGAAUACGAUUUCAUAGAAAAUGUAUAUAAACCAUUUAUAUUUUGUCAAUUCAUUUUUAAUUUUAUUAUUGAAAUUAGAAUAAAAUGAAACGAACUAUUAAUAUAAAUUCGCAGUAGUGCGAAUUGAAAAUCUAGUUAAAUUUUUAGCAAUUGCUAAACCAAACUUUAUAUAUCAAUAAUAAAAUUAUAAGAAUUACUACUUGAAUAUUUAUGAAAAUGAUAAUAAAGUGAAUAGUUCGCGAAUGAUGUGAUUGUAUUUUUCAAAAGUUAAUGCAAUUUAAAUGGCAUGUUUGUUGGGUUCAUAGAUUUUUACCGUGGAUAUACAAUCAGCCACCCAAUUACAUUUAUAUUUUACAAUUUAAUGAUUUUAUACUGUCUUAACCACUUCACCGAAGCUUUUUACUGUGCAUAAACUGUCCAAUAUCAUACACAAGUGAAGAGUUUGUGGUAGGUUGUUAUGGUAGCUUGCAACGUGGAGUGGUUUCUCUACUCUUGUGUUUUGAGGUUCAAGGGCAUCAACUUAUCUAUUGUUAAGAAUAAGCUUCAAAUCGUAAGAUAAGGCAGUAUAAGAGAGAUUAUUGAUUGCAUGAGUCACAAGAAUCAAACCACAAGGAAAUCUUCCGUCGGAAAGAGAAAAAAAAUACAAAACAUAGUUUAGGUCUCUCUUAAAAAGACCCAACCAUGAAAAACAACGUAGAAGAAGAACUCAGUUAAAGCAACAUGUAAACCUUCUAGAUUGCCAUCAUAUGUUGCAUUAAUGAUUGCUUUCAUCUUCAAAAAUGAACUAAGGAAAUGUGUUAAGAAGAUGGUGAAGAAAAUAAGAAACCAGAUCUGAAACAGAGGCGGCAAGUCUGAAGCAAGAUCCAUAGACUCAGAAAAAGAUAUAGCAAGUUCAAUCCUAUACAAAUACUACCAUUACACAAUAAAAACAAACAGACACCACCAUACCAACAAAUGUCUGUGAUUUUUGAAGCAAAGAUCUAAACCAAGUUUCGACAAAAAAAAAUGUUUACAUCAUAUAUAUCUUAACUCAGAUACAUAAAUAACCUCAUGAAAAGAAACUAAAAAUAAGGAAAUAGAAACUUAAGAACCACAUAUCGAAGGAGCUUCGCUUGAAAGACUUUGGAGAAAUUAUGCAAGCACGAGGAAGGAAGCGCAGUGACUCACUCUAGCCCUGUCCCAGCCUUUUAUACAUCUCAAAACAAAUCAGGGAUCACCACAAAAACUCACGGAGGGAAUAGGAAUGAUAAAAUAACUUUUACAUAGUAUAGCUCAAUGUAGCCAAUCUUAGUAGUCUUCAAGUAAUUCAUUUUACCAACUAUAAUUAAUUCAAGAAACUAUAUCUAAACUACAAUAAAGGAGAAAAAGAGUUCCCAUCCUAACAUAUUUCCUGGGUCAAAUAUUUAUGUAUUCGGGAAUACUAAUCCAUUUUACUCGAAGGCAGGAAUGGAGCCGAGUCUGUAUAAGAGUUCUAGGCAAGAAUUGAAUGCCGGCAUGUUCGGAAGCAUGAAUAAUAACUUCAUGCCUUCCUGGAUUAUUUAUUUUCAAAAAUUCUAAUUUUUUAUAUACUUUUAGUAUUUUACUUCACUGGUUUUAGAAUAAACAUAAAAUUAGUCAUUUGAAAUUUGGCUUUUCUUUUAUAUUUCAAUUUCUUAGAAUAUAACAUUAUAAUAUAUUUAGGUUUAUUUGAUUUAUUUGAUUUAUUUGAUUUAUUUUGCUUAAAACACUCCAUCAUGAUAAAAAAAUGAUUUCUUUAUUAUUUUAACAAAAAGGUCAUCAAUAGCUAUGAGAUAAGUUGUUGACAAAAAAAAAGAAGCUAUGAGAUAAGUUAUAUAUUUAUAUAGAUUAAUAUAUCUAGAUAUAAUUAAAAAAAUCCUAAUAUAAAUUUAAGAAAUAUUUGUUUAUUGGAUUUCUUUUUGUUUAGAUACAACAAAUCGAUAAAUUUUUGAUUUAUUUUUCUAGCCUAACAAAAUCAUCGUCAUUCACUUAAUGAACUUUAAUCAUCAAUUUAUAACAACUAUCAAAUAUAAGUACAAUUUCUAAUAUUUAAACUCACAAAAUUUUAUAUUUAAUCAUCAAUUUAUAACAAACAUCAAUUUUGUAUUUUACUAAAAAAAGUAUUAAUGGUGAUAUAUCUUAAUAUAAACGAAAUAUAGUUAAUAGUGUUAUUAUUCUAUCUAUAAAUCUUAUCAAACUAUAAAUUUGUAUGAAUGUUAUUGUACAUGUUGUAAUUACUUUCAAGCCAUGUCAGUUUUUUUUUAAUAAACUGUUAUAGUUUUUAAGUAAGCAACAUUAAUUUUUUCUUGAAAAAUUAAUCAAUUUGUAAAAUUCACUUGGCAAAUAAUAAUGUUGCAUUACCAAAUAAGUAGCUAGUUUCGGACAAACAUGGUCUUGCUAAGAAAGAGUGAAGACUUUUCCAUUUUGCCACACUCUUCAUCCGCCAAAGCCGGGCAUGAUGCGGCGACUAUCGCCUUCUCAGAUGUCCGGAGCCGGACUUGGGAUCGCUGCAAUAUCAUACGUGGCGGUCGAUUACAUGAGAUACGUGUCACCGUGGGGGCAUUCUCGUCUUCAGCCAGUUCUCUGGUCGGUCCUGGUUCUCGCCGUCGUUACGCGUGUCCCUUUCUACAAGCACUGGUCUAAAGAGCUACGAGCAGCGAUCCCUUUCCUCGCUUCUAUCUUCUUUUUGCUUGGAGCUCUUCUCUUCGAAGCUCUUUGUGUUCGCUCUGUCACCGCCGUUCUUGGCUUAGAUUGGCACCGGUAAAACUAGAUCUGCGUCGAUCUUACCUCGAAAGUUGAUAGUUAUGAGUGUUGACCUUGUUGAUGUUUCUGGAUCUGAUUUGAGUAGAACAUGUGUUUGACUUGAGUAUCAUAGAUUUACAGUAAUCUUUGGUUGAAUGUUUAUCAUUAUGAGCAUUAUUUAGUCGGAAUCUUUAAGUUUCUAGUCAUUUAUUCAAUUUAUGGUGGAAAUAAGUGUAGCUCAUCGUUAUUACAGUAAUCUUUUCUUGGACGGUUAGUGCAUUUCUGUAACUAUAUUAACUACAUAAACUAGAAAUAUUUAAGUUUAUUUUCAUUUAUUCAAUUAAUUAAACAAUCAAGUGAAAAUUGAAUAUAGAAAUUACAGUAAUCUUUGGUUAUGUAUUUCUGUGACUUUAUUACCAAUUUGAGUCUUUUAUAAGUUACUAUUCUUACAUUCAGUUGAAACGUUAACAUUACAGUAAUCUUUUAUUAAUGUUUAUAUUAUAUAUUUCUGUAACUAUAUAUUAUAUCAGUAUGAAAAAUAAUAGAAGUGGUAAUCUUUGACAGGGAUACGUCUCCACUUCCUGACACAGGCCAAUGGUUCCUACUUGCACUAAACGAGAGCCUUCCCGAGACAAUUGUGGAAAUCCUGAGAGCUCAUAUCAUAGGAUUGCACCAUUUUCUUAUGCUGUUUGUAAUGCUGGGUUUCUCGGUAGUGUUCGACUCAGUGAAAGCUCCGGGUCUAGGAUUAGGGGCACGAUACAUUUUCACCAUGGGACUGGGCCGUCUCUUAAGAGCUAUAACCUUCGUUUCUACCAUCUUACCUUCAGCUAGACCUUGGUGCGCUUCAGCCCGAUUCAACAACGUCCCUUCUCAUCCUCAUCGUUGGGCUCAGAAGUAUUAUGUCCCUUAUGCUAAAGACCCUUCUGCUAUUCGCCAGCUCCUCCAUUGGGAUGCUGCUUAC